rnacentral:lncRNA from 1 species
UAACGGUCAACGACAAAAACGGAGAGAACCGGCAACUAAUAACGAAUGCAAGUUUUGAAAACUGGCGCAACGGAGUGCCGAUGCAAUGCAGAUGAUGAAUGCAACAUACAAUCUAAUCGCACAACGGCAAUGGAAGAAGAGGAGAAUAUUCUGGAGCGUCGGUCUCGGGCUGUCACACCAGUUUUAGCAAUUAUGGCAAGUCAAGUACACCCUACACAUGCAGUUCUAAGAGUAUAUCAGUGGAAUGUAAAAGAUGCAAGUGUAAAGUAAAGGAGUAAGGUAGGGAUAUCAAACGCAUGAGGUUGACACGAUGAUUUUUGGCUUGUGGAGUUGAACAGAGAUGUUUGUAAAGGCAAGGAGAUUAUCUUUUGAACUUCCGUGAAAUAUAUUUGGAAAAACAUAUUAGUACAAUGAUGGAUAUGUUGUGAUCAA